rfam:Gossypium hirsutum cultivar TM-1 unplaced genomic scaffold scaffold477.1, whole genome shotgun sequence
UGUUAAAAAUUCCAUCCAUUUCUCCUAUUAAAAAUUGGUGUGGAUGACGAAAUAGGUAGACAGUUACAUUCAAUGUUGCAUGUGUAUCUCUCAUGCUGACGUGCAUGUAUUAGUAGUUUUUAACGGUAGAAAUUGAUGAAAUUUUUAACA